GGGGGUACAGCGCAGUGGUAGAGCCCAUGCUUGGCAUGCAUGAGGUCCGGGGUUCAAUCCCCAGUACCUCUG
rnacentral:tRNA from 1 species